GCUUAGAGUUUGAUCCUGGCUCAGAUUGAACGCUGGCGGCAUGCUUUACACAUGCAAGUCGAACGGUAACAGGUCUUCGGAUGCUGACGAGUGGCGAACGGGUGAGUAAUACAUCGGAACGUGCCUAGUAGUGGGGGAUAACUACUCGAAAGAGUAGCUAAUACCGCAUGAGAUCUACGGAUGAGAGCAGGGGACCUUCGGGCCUUGUGCUACUAGAGCGGCUGAUGGCAGAUUAGGUAGUUGGUGGGGUAAAGGCUUACCAAGCCUGCGAUCUGUAGCUGGUCUGAGAGGACGACCAGCCACACUGGGACUGAGACACGGCCCAGACUCCUACGGGAGGCAGCAGUGGGGAAUUUUGGACAAUGGGCGAAAGCCUGAUCCAGCAAUGCCGCGUGCAGGAUGAAGGCCCUCGGGUUGUAAACUGCUUUUGUACGGAACGAAAAGCCUGGGGCUAAUAUCCCCGGGUCAUGACGGUACCGUAAGAAUAAGCACCGGCUAACUACGUGCCAGCAGCCGCAGUAAUACGUAGGGUGCAAGCGUUAAUCGGAAUUACUGGGCGUAAAGCGUGCGCAGGCGGUUUUGUAAGACAGUGGUGAAAUCCCCGGGCUCAAUCUGGGAACUGCCAUUGUGACUGCAAGGCUAGAGUGCGGCAGAGGGUGAUGGAAUUCCGCGUGUAGC
rnacentral:rRNA from 1 species